AUUGCAGCUGAUGUUGUGGUUGAGCUGGCUGUAGUUGUGGUUGGUGUGGCUGUAGUUCUGGUUUGUGCAACUUUUGUUGUGGUUUGCAUAGCUGUAGUGGUGGUUGGUGCUUCUGUAGUUGCUGUUGAAACACUUGAUGAUAUUGUUGGUGCAGCUGUUGCUGUGGUUGAGCUAGCCUGAGUUGUGGUUUUUGCAGAUUUUGUAGUGGAUGGUGCACCUGUCAUUGUGGUUGAGCUAGCCUUAGUUGUGGUUGGUGUAGCUGUUGAAACAGUUGUUGAUGUGGCUGGGGUAGCUGUAGUUGAGGUGGAGCCAGCUGUAGUUGUAGUUUUUGCUUCUUUUGUAGUGCUUGGUGCAGCUGUUGUUUUGGUUGAAACAGUUGUUGAUGUGGUUGAUGCAUCUGUUGUUCUGGCAUGUGUGGCUGAAGUGGUGGUUGUUGCAGCUUUUGAGGUUGAUGGUGCAGCUGUAGUUGUGGGUGGUGCAGUUGUUGUUGCGGCUGGUGUAGCUGUUGUAGUCAUUGAAACAGUUGUUGGUGUGGUUGGGGCAGCUGUAGUUAAGGUGGAGGCAGCUGCAGUUGUGGUUUUUGCUUCUUUUGUAGUUGUUGGUGCAGCUGUAGUGGUUGUUGGUGCAUUUGUUGUAGUAGUUGAAAUAGUUGUUGAUGUGGUUGGUGCAGUUGUUGUUGCGGCUGGUGUGUCUGAAGUGGUGGUAAUUGCAGCUGAUGUUGUGGUUGAGCUGGCUGUAGUUGUGGUUGGUGUGGCUGUAGUUCUGGUUUGUGCAACUUUUGUUGUGGUUUGCAUAGCUGUAGUGGUGGUUGGUGCUUCUGUAGUUGCUGUUGAAACACUUGAUGAUAUUGUUGGUGCAGCUGUUGCUGUGGUUGAGCUAGCCUGAGUUGUGGUUUUUGCAGAUUUUGUAGUGGAUGGUGCACCUGUCAUUGUGGUUGAGCUAGCCUUAGUUGUGGUUGGUGUAGCUGUUGAAACAGUUGUUGAUGUGGCUGGGGUAGCUGUAGUUGAGGUGGAGCCAGCUGUAGUUGUAGUUUUUGCUUCUUUUGUAGUGCUUGGUGCAGCUGUUGUUUUGGUUGAAACAGUUGUUGAUGUGGUUGAUGCAUCUGUUGUUCUGGCAUGUGUGGCUGAAGUGGUGGUUGUGGCAGCUUUUGAGGUUGAUGGUGCAGUUGUAGUUGUGGGUGGUGCAGUUGUUGUUGCGGCUGGUGUAGCUGUUGUAGUCAUUGAAACAGUUGUUGGUGUGGUUGGGGCAGCUGUAGUUAAGGUGGAGGCAGCUGCAGUUGUGGUUUUUGCUUCUUUUGUAGUUGUUGGUGCAGCUGUAGUGGUUGUUGGUGCAUUUGUUGUAGUAGUUGAAAUAGUUGUUGAUGUGGUUGGUGCAGUUGUUGUUGCGGCUGGUGUGUCUGAAGUGGUGGUAAUUGCAGCUGAUGUUGUGGUUGAGCUGGCUGUAGUUGUGGUUGGUGUGGCUGUAGUUCUGGUUUGUGCAACUUUUGUUGUGGUUUGCAUAGCUGUAGUGGUGGUUGGUGCUUCUGUAGUUGCUGUUGAAACACUUGAUGAUAUUGUUGGUGCAGCUGUUGCUGUGGUUGAGCUAGCCUGAGUUGUGGUUUUUGCAGAUUUUGUAGUGGAUGGUGCACCUGUCAUUGUGGUUGAGCUAGCCUUAGUUAUGGUUGGUGUAGCUGUUGAAACAGUUGUUGAUGUGGCUGGGGUAGCUGUAGUUGAGGUGGAGCCAGCUGUAGUUGUAGUUUUUGCUUCUUUUGUAGUGCUUGGUGCAGCUGUUGUUUUGGUUGAAACAGUUGUUGAUGUGGUUGAUGCAUCUGUUGUUCUGGCAUGUGUGGCUGAAGUGGUGGUUGUUGCAGCUUUUGAGGUUGAUGGUGCAGUUGUAGUUGUGGGUGGUGCAGUUGUUGUUGCGGCUGGUGUAGCUGUUGUAGUCAUUGAAACAGUUGUUGGUGUGGUUGGGGCAGCUGUAGUUAAGGUGGAGGCAGCUGCAGUUGUGGUUUUUGCUUCUUUUGUAGUUGUUGGUGCAGCUGUAGUGGUUGUUGGUGCAUUUGUUGUAGUAGUUGAAAUAGUUGUUGAUGUGGUUGGUGCAGUUGUUGUUGCGGCUGGUGUGUCUGAAGUGGUGGUAAUUGCAGCUGAUGUUGUGGUUGAGCUGGCUGUAGUUGUGGUUGGUGUGGCUGUAGUUCUGGUUUGUGCAACUUUUGUUGUGGUUUGCAUAGCUGUAGUGGUGGUUGGUGCUUCUGUAGUUGCUGUUGAAACACUUGAUGAUAUUGUUGGUGCAGCUGUUGCUGUGGUUGAGCUAGCCUGAGUUGUGGUUUUUGCAGAUUUUGUAGUGGAUGGUGCACCUGUCAUUGUGGUUGAGCUAGCCUUAGUUGUGGUUGGUGUAGCUGUUGAAACAGUUGUUGAUGUGGCUGGGGUAGCUGUAGUUGAGGUGGAGCCAGCUGUAGUUGUAGUUUUUGCUUCUUUUGUAGUGCUUGGUGCAGCUGUUGUUUUGGUUGAAACAGUUGUUGAUGUGGUUGAUGCAUCUGUUGUUCUGGCAUGUGUGGCUGAAGUGGUGGUUGUGCAGCUUUUGAGGUUGAUGGUGCAGUUGUAGUUGUGGGUGGUGCAGUUGUUGUUGCGGCUGGUGUAGCUGUUGUAGUCAUUGAAACAGUUGUUGGUGUGGUUGGGGCAGCUGUAGUUAAGGUGGAGGCAGCUGCAGUUGUGGUUUUUGCUUCUUUUGUAGUUGUUGGUGCAGCUGUAGUGGUUGUUGGUGCAUUUGUUGUAGUAGUUGAAAUAGUUGUUGAUGUGGUUGGUGCAGUUGUUGUUGCGGCUGGUGUGUCUGAAGUGGUGGUAAUUGCAGCUGAUGUUGUGGUUGAGCUGGCUGUAGUUGUGGUUGGUGUGGCUGUAGUUCUGGUUUGUGCAACUUUUGUUGUGGUUUGCAUAGCUGUAGUGGUGGUUGGUGCUUCUGUAGUUGCUGUUGAAACACUUGAUGAUAUUGUUGGUGCAGCUGUUGCUGUGGUUGAGCUAGCCUGAGUUGUGGUUUUUGCAGAUUUUGUAGUGGAUGGUGCACCUGUCAUUGUGGUUGAGCUAGCCUUAGUUGUGGUUGGUGUAGCUGUUGAAACAGUUGUUGAUGUGGCUGGGGUAGCUGUAGUUGAGGUGGAGCCAGCUGUAGUUGUAGUUUUUGCUUCUUUUGUAGUGCUUGGUGCAGCUGUUGUUUUGGUUGAAACAGUUGUUGAUGUGGUUGAUGCAUCUGUUGUUCUGGCAUGUGUGGCUGAAGUGGUGGUUGUUGCAGCUUUUGAGGUUGAUGGUGCAGCUGUAGUUGUGGGUGGUGCAGUUGUUGUUGCGGCUGGUGUAGCUGUUGUAGUCAUUGAAACAGUUGUUGGUGUGGUUGGGGCAGCUGUAGUUAAGGUGGAGGCAGCUGUAGUUGUAGUUUUUGCUUCUUUUGUAGUUGUUGGUGCAGCUGUAGUGGUUGUUGGUGCAUUUGUUGUAGUAGUUGAAAUAGUUGUUGAUGUGGUUGGUGCAGUUGUUGUUGCGGCUGGUGUGUCUGAAGUGGUGGUAAUUGCAGCUGAUGUUGUGGUUGAGCUGGCUGUAGUUGUGGUUGGUGUGGCUGUAGUUCUGGUUUGUGCAACUUUUGUUGUGGUUUGCAUAGCUGUAGUGGUGGUUGGUGCUUCUGUAGUUGCUGUUGAAACACUUGAUGAUAUUGUUGGUGCAGCUGUUGCUGUGGUUGAGCUAGCCUGAGUUGUGGUUUUUGCAGAUUUUGUAGUGGAUGGUGCACCUGUCAUUGUGGUUGAGCUAGCCUUAGUUGUGGUUGGUGUAGCUGUUGAAACAGUUGUUGAUGUGGCUGGGGUAGCUGUAGUUGAGGUGGAGCCAGCUGUAGUUGUAGUUUUUGCUUCUUUUGUAGUGCUUGGUGCAGCUGUUGUUUUGGUUGAAACAGUUGUUGAUGUGGUUGAUGCAUCUGUUGUUCUGGCAUGUGUGGCUGAAGUGGUGGUUGUGGCAGCUUUUGAGGUUGAUGGUGCAGUUGUAGUUGUGGGUGGUGCAGUUGUUGUUGCGGCUGGUGAAGCUGUUAGAGUCAUUGAAACAGUUGUUGGUAUGGUUGGGGCAGCUGUAGUUAAGGUGGAGGCAGCUGCAGUUGUGGUUUUUGCUUCUUUUGUAGUUGUUGGUGCAGCUGUAGUGAUUGUUGGUGCAUUUGUUGUAGUAGUUGAAAUAGUUGUUGAUGUGGUUGGUGCAGUUGUUGUUGCGGCUGGUGUGUCUGAAGUGGUGGUAAUUGCAGCUGAUGUUGUGGUUGAGCUGGCUGUAGUUGUGGUUGGUGUGGCUGUAGUUCUGGUUUGUGCAACUUUUGUUGUGGUUUGCAUAGCUGUAGUGGUGGUUGGUGCUUCUGUAGUUGCUGUUGAAACACUUGAUGAUAUUGUUGGUGCAGCUGUUGCUGUGGUUGAGCUAGCCUGAGUUGUGGUUUUUGCAGAUUUUGUAGUGGAUUGUGCACCUGUCAUUGUGGUUGAGCUAGCCUUAGUUGUGGUUGGUAUAGCUGUUGAAAUAGUUGUUGAUGUGGCUGGGGUAGCUGUAGUUGAGGUGGAACCAGCUGUAGUUGUAGUUUUUGCUUCUUUUGUAUUGCUUGGUGCAGCUGUUGUUUUGGUUGAAACAGUUGUUGAUGUGGUUGAUGCAUCUGUUGUUCUGGCAUGUGUGGCUGAAGUGGUGGUUGUUGCAGCUUUUGUUGUUGAUGGUGCAGCUGUAGUUGUGGGUGGUGCAGUUGUUGUUGCGGCUGGGGUAGCUGUAGUUGUAGUCAUUGAAACAGUUGUUGGUGUGGUUGGGGCAGCUGUAGUUAAGGUGGAGGCAGCUGCAGUUGUGGUUUUUGCUUCUUUUGUAGUUGUUGGUGCAGCUGUAGUGGUUGUUGGUGCAUUUGUUGUAGUAGUUGAAAUAGUUGUUGAUGUGGUUGGUGCAGUUGUUGUUGCGGCUGGUGUGUCUGAAGUGGUGGUAAUUGCAGCUGAUGUUGUGGUUGAGCUGGCUGUAGUUGUGGUUGGUGUGGCUGUAGUUCUGGUUUGUGCAACUUUUGUUGUGGUUUGCAUAGCUGUAGUGGUGGUUGGUGCUUCUGUAGUUGCUGUUGAAACACUUGAUGAUAUUGUUGGUGCAGCUGUUGCUGUGGUUGAGCUAGCCUGAGUUGUGGUUUUUGCAGAUUUUGUAGUGGAUGGUGCACCUGUCAUUGUGGUUGAGCUAGCCUUAGUUAUGGUUGGUGUAGCUGUUGAAACAGUUGUUGAUGUGGCUGGGGUAGCUGUAGUUGAGGUGGAGCCAGCUGUAGUUGUAGUUUUUGCUUCUUUUGUAGUGCUUGGUGCAGCUGUUGUUUUGGUUGAAACAGUUGUUGAUGUGGUUGAUGCAUCUGUUGUUCUGGCAUGUGUGGCCGAAGUGGUGGUUGUGGCAGCUUUUGAAGUUGAUGGUGCAGCUGUAGUUGUGGGUGGUGCAGUUGUUGUUGCGGCUGGUGUAGCUGUUGUAGUCAUUGAAACAGUUGUUGGUGUGGUUGGGGCAGCUGUAGUUAAGGUGGAGGCAGCUGCAGUUGUGGUUUUUGCUUCUUUUGUAGUUGUUGGUGCAGCUGUAGUGGUUGUUGGUGCAUUUGUUGUAGUAGUUGAAAUAGUUGUUGAUGUGGUUGGUGCAGUUGUUGUUGCGGCUGGUGUGUCUGAAGUGGUGAUAAUUGCAGCUGAUGUUGUGGUUGGUGUGGCUGUAGUUGUGGUUGGUGUGGCUGUAGUUCUGGUUUGUGCAACUUUUGUUGUGGUUUGCAUAGCUGUAGUGGUGGUUGGUGCUUCUGUAGUUGCUGUUGAAACACUUGAUGAUAUUGUUGGUGCAGCUGUUGCUGUGGUUGAGCUAGCCUGAGUUGUGGUUUUUGCAGAUUUUGUAGUGGAUGGUGCACCUGUCAUUGUGGUUGAGCUAGCCUUAGUUAUGGUUGGUGUAGCUGUUGAAACAGUUGUUGAUGUGGCUGGGGUAGCUGUAGUUGAGGUGGAGCCAGCUGUAGUUGUAGUUUUUGCUUCUUUUGUAGUGCUUGGUGCAGCUGUUGUUUUGGUUGAAACAGUUGUUGAUGUGGUUGAUGCAUCUGUUGUUCUGGCAUGUGUGGCUGAAGUGGUGGUUGUGGCAGCUUUUGAGGUUGAUGGUGCAGUUGUAGUUGUGGGUGGUGCAGUUGUUGUUGCGGCUGGUGUAGCUGUUGUAGUCAUUGAAACAGUUGUUGGUGUGGUUGGGGCAGCUGUAGUUAAGGUGGAGGCAGCUGCAGUUGUGGUUUUUGCUUCUUUUGUAGUUGUUGGUGCAGCUGUAGUGGUUGUUGGUGCAUUUGUUGUAGUAGUUGAAAUAGUUGUUGAUGUGGUUGGUGCAGUUGUUGUUGCGGCUGGUGUGUCUGAAGUGGUGGUAAUUGCAGCUGAUGUUGUGGUUGAGCUGGCUGUAGUUGUGGUUGGUGUGGCUGUAGUUCUGGUUUGUGCAACUUUUGUUGUGGUUUGCAUAGCUGUAGUGGUGGUUGGUGCUUCUGUAGUUGCUGUUGAUAUACUUGAUGAUAUUGUUGGUGGAGCUGUUGCUGUGGUUGAGCUAGCCUGAGUUGUGGUUUUUGCAGAUUUUGUAGUGGAUGGUGCACCUGUCAUUGUGGUUGAGCUAGCCUUAGUUGUGGUUGGUGUAGCUGUUGAAACAGUUGUUGAUGUGGCUGGGGUAGCUGUAGUUGAGGUGGAGCCAACUGUAGUUGUAGUUUUUGCUUCUUUUGUAGUGCUUGGUGCAGCUGUUGUUUUGGUUGAAACAGUUGUUGAUGUGGUUGAUGCAUCUGUUGUUCUGGCAUGUGUGGCUGAAGUGGUGGUUGUUGCAGCUUUUGAGGUUGAUGGUGCAGCUGUAGUUGUGGGUGGUGCAGUUGUUGUUGCGGCUGGUGUAGCUGUUGUAGUCAUUGAAACAGUUGUUGGUGUGGUUGGGGCAGCUGUAGUUAAGGUGGAGGCAGCUGCAGUUGUGGUUUUUGCUUCUUUUGUAGUUGUUGGUGCAGCUGUAGUGGUUGUUGGUGCAUUUGUUGUAGUAGUUGAAAUAGUUGUUGAUGCGGUUGGUGCAGUUGUUGCGGCUGGUGUGUCUAAAGUGGUAAUAAUUGCAGCUGAUGUGGUUGAGCUGGCUGUAGUUGUGGUUGGUGUGGCUGUAGUUCUGGUUUGUGCAACUUUUGUUGUGGUUUGCAUAGCUGUAGUGGUGGUUGGUGCUUCUGUAGUUGCUGUUGAAACACUUGAUGAUAUUGUUGGUGCAGCUGUUGCUGUGGUUGAGCUAGCCUGAGUUGUGGUUUUUGCAGAUUUUGUAGUGGAUGGUGCACCUGUCAUUGUGGUUGAGCUAGCCUUAGUUGUGGUUGGUGUAGCUGUUGAAACAGUUGUUGAUGUGGCUGGGGUAGCUGUAGUUGAGGUGAAGCCAGCUGUAAUUGUAGUUUUUGCUUCUUUUGUAGUGCUUGGUGCAGCUGUUGUUUUGGUUGAAACAGUUGUUGAUGUGGUUGAUGCAUCUGUUGUUCUGGCAUGUGUGGCUGAAGUGGUGGUUGUGGCAGCUUUUGAGGUUGAUGGUGCAGCUGGAGUUGUGGGUGGUGCAGUUGUUGUUGCGGCUGGUGUAGCUGUUGUAGUCAUUGAAACAGUUGUUGGUGUGGUAGGGGCAGCUGUAAUUAAGGUGGAGGCAGCUGCAGUUGUGGUUUUUGCUUCUUUUGUAGUUGUUGGUGCAGCUGUAGUGGUUGUUGGUGCAUUUGUUGUAGUAGUUGAAAUAGUUGUUGAUGUGGUUGGUGCAGUUGUUGUUGCGGCUGGUGUGUCUGAAGUGGUGGUAAUUGCAGCUGAUGUUGUGGUUGAGCUGGCUGUAGUUGUGGUUGGUGUGGCUGUAGUUCUGGUUUGUGCAACUUUUGUUGUGGUUUGCAUAGCUGUAGUGGUGAUUGGUGCUUCUGUAGUUGCUGUUGAAACACUUGAUGAUAUUGUUGGUGCAGCUGUUGCUGUGGUUGAGCUAGCCUGAGUUGUGGUUUUUGCAGAUUUUGUAGUGGAUGGUGCACCUGUCAUUGUGGUUGAGCUAGCCUUAGUUGUGGUUGGUGUAGCUGUUGAAACAGUUGUUGAUGUGGCUGGGGU